UACAGAGGUCUCGAGCGUUAGGCGGAAUCACUGGGCUUAAAGCGUGUGUAGGCGGAUUGCUAAGUACCUUGUGAAAUCCCACGGCUUAACCGUGGAACUGCUUGGUAUACUGGCUGUCUUGAGCCACUUAGGGGCAACCGGAACAAACGGUGGAGCGGUGAAAUGCGUAGAUAUCGUUCGGAACGCCAAUGGUGAAAACAGGUUGCUGGGAGUGUGCUGACGCUGAGACACGAAAGCCAGGGGAGCAAACGGG
rnacentral:rRNA from 1 species